UAGUUGUAGUUAUUUAAUAAAACAAUAGAAGUAAAAAUAUUAGAAAAUAAUGAGGAUUAUUAUUAUUAUUAAAAUAAAAUUAGAGUGAAAAAAAUGGUAUUUUGGUAAAUAGGGGAAUAAAUUAGGGCAUUGUGGGAAUCACUAAUUGAGAAGGAUUAAGUUUCUCAUAAAAACGAGUUAGUAGAGAGUUUUUGGGGUUAGUACGUAAAAACUGAAUUUGGAAAAGAAGAGGCUCGGAGAACAAGGGCUUAGGAGAACCUCCAUUGUUAGAGCUUGAAGGUGCUUUUGCUGGAAAUCCAAGGUAAAUGGGGAUUACUUCAAAUAUGGUGUUGCAUGCAUAAUUGGAUACGGGAGGUCCUUAAUCCCAUUAGAUUUUCCCCUAAUUUUUCCCUUUUGAUGAAUAAUUGAUGAAUAUGAACUGAUUUAGGUGGUAGCAUGAAUUAUGUGUUGUAUUAUAUGAAUUCCUUGUAUUGAUUUACCAUGGAGAUUGCGUGUUCUUGUUAGUGAAAAUGGUAUGAGUGGGUGUUUAUAUGGGUGUUAUGAUUUUGAUUAACAAAACAUAUGGAAACCAUGAUUAAUCAAAGAAAUUUCAUGUUAAUUGAUGGAUAGAUGAUGUACUAAUGUUAAAUAUUGUUUUCCUUAAUGUUGUUGAUUGAUUUGAAGGUUAGGAAGGGAAAAUCAGAGUUUUUAAUUGAACUUCGUGGGUGACAAGUGUCACCCUCAUGAGGACCAGGUCGUCACGGUCUUUGAGGCGUUGACGGGUAGAUCAUCAUGGUCCCUAGGCCCUGUUUUGUGGGGCGCGGGUCAUAUGAAUGACGAGCGAGGUGGUGUGAGCGGCUAAAGGGAAUCACUCUGGUGACGGGUAACCCAUCAUGCUUCCAAAAUGAAUGUUGUUUGCUCAGUUGCAUGUAAUCGAGUGUCAAUUUAGAUUUUUGAGGUUGUGUUGUGAUUAUGCUAUUGUUUGCCCACUAUUUAGAGGUAUUUUGGUGUUGUUUACUAUUUAUUGUAGAAUUAAGCAAAUAUUAUGUAUUGAGGAUGAUGUUGUGUGUAAUUGUUGUGAUUAUAUGGUUAUAAUUUUGGUGACAUUGAAAGUUGUUGAAAAUCAUGCAUCAUGGUAUAACUUCGGUCUAAUUUUUGUAUACUCUGGCCCGAUGGUAGGGAUUCAGGAGUGAGUAGCUAGUUCCAGAUGAGAAUCGGUGAAGCAUUACUAAAGGUGUUAGUAGCGAAUUGGUGUGCUCUGUUUCUACGGAGGGAAUUCAGGAGCGAGAUGGACCUGUGUUAUCCAUAAUGGUAUUGCAUGCAUGUAGAGUCGUGGUGUUGAGUACAUUACAUCCAUUGUUUGGAUUUUUAAUUUAAUGAUUAUGUUGAUAUGGGUGAUUGAGAUUACUUAUGUGGUUAAUGAGAAUGAAUUAUGUUGAAAUCAUGUGAAUAAGAUAUGUGAUUGUGGAUGUUUUCUUAGACUUCCCUUGCAUACUUUUGCACCAUUAUAUAUUUCUGGCGUAUUCUCACCCCUUUGUUAUUUGUGUGAUUCUGUGCUUCUUCUUGGAGUACAGACCAUUAGGUAAAUGAGUAGCUGCUUAGAAUAUGAAGGAUGGUGCUAAGGUUAUUCUUUUUUCCCGUUUUAUGCGAUAUUUAGACUUUGUUGCUCUUAUAUGUAACACUGGGCGGGCAAAGUUGUGUUUUAUUAUUUGUGAUUAUUGAUGGUGUUGUUGAUGUUGAAGGCAUUAUUCCAUAAUGAAGUUUUAUGUUUGAAAAGAAAUUGUUAUGAUACUUAAUUAUUUGUUGAGUUACUUUAUUUGAUUUAUUUUCUGUUGUGAUUAACCUAUGUAAAGGCGAGCAUAUGAUGAUAGAUGUUUGAAUUAUUUCAUGUUUUAUUUAACCCAUAUUAUAGAGCAAGUUUAUGUUGUGUUUGCAUGACACUCUAUGUGUAUAGUUGUUUUAAGUUCAUAUUAUUUUUGCGUUGGGGUUGUUUGGGUGUUACAUAGUGGUAUUAGAGCAAGUCGGUCCAUCCAACCAGGUUUUUGUAAUGUUGUAUAUUCCCUAGUAUGCAAUGAGUGUAUGAAUAUUAUCAAUGCAUUGUUUCUUUUAAUGUCUGUUUAUUGGUGUGAAGAAUGGUUGGAAGAAACUACCGAGCGAUUGUUGGUGCUUUGGAGGCGAUGACUCAGGCACUGCAAGAUCAGGAGAAUCAGGCUGGUGAUGAGUUCCACAUAUUGGGGAAGUUUCAGAGAAACAAUCUUUCAACUUUCAAGGGAAGAUAUGAUCUGGAGGGUGCGCAAACAUGGCUCAGAGAGAUUGAGAAGAUAUGGUUCUCGAAAGCAUCAAUGCAUAGACCUAGCAAUGCAAGUUUCAAGUGAACAUUCAACAAUACAUUCACUUAGCAGAAUUAUGCCAACAGAUGGUAACAUGAAAUCAUUUGCACAGGAUGAUAUUGCAUCCAAUUGACAAUAGAAAUUAAUACCAUAGUUAUUUCAUAGCAGCCUUUGAAUUCCAAAAGUUGCAGUUAAUAGUCUGCAGGUUUGAACCAAGCCAGGCCUGCAACAGAAAUGGAAAGCUAAUUGAAUUGUGUUGUUUUCUAACUGCCAUUGUACCUAACUAACAACCAUGUCUAACAGAUUCUCGUUCAGAAAAAUGAUGAAACUAAAUCUAACCAGUUCAACAACAGGUUUUACAUUGCAAUUGCCUUCUAACAAAACAUGCACUAGCAAAACUAACAAAAUAUGCAUUUGGAAAUUCCGCAAACUAACAAAACCUGCAGUUCAAAAGCAUACCUGCACUAGUAAGUCAUCAUUUUGAUCCAUAGAAACCUUCAUUCAUCUGGCAACCUGCAAUUGGCAGUGGUAACAAUUACUAACCUUUGCAUUACAAAACCUAACCAACUAACUAACGGUUCUAAUCAAGUCUAACAGCUUCAACUGAUUCCAACAUAAAUCACGUUGCCCUAGAACUAACAGUGUGAGUCAUAUCUAACUAAUUUUGCUUUAAUCCAAGUUAAUAAAGUUAACUCUGUUAACUCUCUCAUCAUCUAUAAAUCACCAUUCACUCUUCAACUUGAGGGCACUCUUUCAUUUUCCCAGAAAAUCGAUUUCAGAUUUCUCAAAUUCUCUCAAUCAUAAAUCCUCGCAAUCACUCAUUCACUGCACAUUAAUUGAACCACUAAUCCUCUCAAUUCUCACAUGAAUACCACCAUAGAAGUAAGAGGAAGAAGAAGUGAAGCAGAAGAAAGAAGGGAAGAAGGAGUUCAGAUUGAAGAUCAUACCUGCAAUUAUCUCUUGCUACCUCUGCGAAUUGCUCUGAGCUCGAAAUACUCUUCUCUCCGGCAGGCAAGUAUCACUCUUCAUCUUUAAUCAUCACUCUGGUUACCAGCAUGUAAGGGAGAGGCCGAGGAAUCAAAUCCCUAACCCUAGGGACUUUGGUUUCUCCAAUUUGAGAUUUAAUUUUUGAUUUUGUUGUAAGUAUCACUCUUCAUCUUUAAUCAUCACUCUGGUUACCAGCAUGUAAGGGAGAGGCCGAGGAAUCAAAUCCCUAACCCUAGGGACUUUGGUUUCUCCAAUUUGAGAUUUAAUUUUUGAUUUUGUUGUUAGGGUUCGUAUGGGAUUUCAACUUGAUUUAGGAGUUUUAGUUUGAAAUAGGUGAAAUUGAUGUGGGAUUAUGUUAGAUCUCGUGGAGUGGAUUUAAAUGGCAUAAGUUUUUUUUUGUGUUUGAUGCUCCGCCGACGUCGGUGGUGAGCUCAGGUGUGGCGAAGACUUUCUUUGAACAGGUUGAGAUGAUGAAUGCACUGAAUGCUUGUGAAACACAUGAUAUUUGCUUGAGUUUGAUCCCCGAGACUCUCAUAGGUGCAAUGGGAUAAAUGUUUCCCAUAAGCCCAAUGUUUUUCUUUUGACACCAUAGAAGUUUCCUACAUCCCCUCUGUUCAAAGGUAAAAGACCUGUGGGCGUACUGAAUGGGCCUUGCGCCCCAAAUCUUUUUGCAUUCUGUAUUUGGCAGCAAACCUUCCGGUUUCCAUUUUCUUUUAUUUUGUUGUUUUUACUUUUUUUUAAAUCAUAUUUUAGCAUGUGUUUUUUUGAUGAAACUAGUAAAGAAUCCGUACGUUCGCAUGGGUCGCGCAAGUGCAAUAAUUUAUUUA
rnacentral:lncRNA from 1 species